UGGAAGACUAGUGAUUUUGUUGUUGUGACCUGAGACUUAACAACAAAUCCCAGUCUGCCUCA
rnacentral:pre_miRNA from 1 species